AUGCAAAUGCUGGGAGAAGAGACGACUGAGUUAUUCAUCUUUAACCUUUACUUUUGUUUAACACGACCUUACCCAGCAAGGCUCCCAUUACUGCUGCGGGCUGUUCGGUGCACGUCCCUUCCUUCUGCUGCCACCAGCACAGAGCUCAGCCCGUGCUCCUGCCUGGUGACAUCCAUCCCUGUGCGUGCCACUGCUUCUGGCUGGGAACCAUGGGGCUCCAGGGGGAAUGAGCAGCCUGGGGCAGAGCUCGGUGCCACGUGUCCCAGAGCACAAACAGGGCUGUUAGGAUUCCUUUGGUUGAUGCUCUGGCACGUCCCCAGUCGCAGCAGGGUUUCAGCGGACCCCCCUCCACCGUGUUUGCCUUGAGCUGCGACCCGCGAGCGGCGAAAGAGAAGUGUGAGCAGGAUCCUGCCUGCUGGCCAGACCAUGAGAGCGAGCUGUCCAUCCGGAUAGGUAGAGCUGGGCACCAUCCAGGCAAGCAUCCUGUCAUAUACCACCCGCAGAGCGUUUGGGAAUGCCCCUCUUAAGCUGGCACCCAGGCUGUAACGUAUGUGAUUGACAUUGGCUUGGUUUUGACACGUGCGUGCAAAGUGCACCUCCUCUUCCCUUUCUGGGUCUGUCUCUGUGCUGGCUUUCAUUCCAAGAAUCAUCAUUUCUGUUUCUACUUCACUUCUCAAAACCACUUGCACGUCUGCCUGUGGCUAUGAAUUAUUGAUAAUUAGAUAUCUAAUUCACCGGGGAAAUGAAAUCAUCAGCUCAGCCUGAGAUAAGUUUACUCUGAGCGUGGGCACAGCCAGCACUGCCCUGCCCUCGGUGCUCAGUGCCAUACGGAGGUUCCUGCUCUGCUGACCCUCGGUGCCCUCCCUAAUUACAGAUGAGAGCCGACGGUCGUGCUGUCACUCCUCAUUUUGGAAGCUAAUAGGAUUUCAGCUGCCAAAGCGAGGAGUGAAGUGUCUCCUUGGCAGCUCUUUCCCUUUGGAGAGCUUUUAAAGAAGGAACUCCCAGUUUGGAGUGGUGGAAGCUCGCCAGGUUUCCAAUGUCCGUGGUGUGUGUGUGUGUGUGGGGACGGGGUGCCAUGCCCUAUGUAAAUCCUCUGUGCAGCACAGCUUGCUGUUCUGCUGCACUUCAGUCUUUCUCUAGGCGAAGAAAACGUAAUUUAGAGAAUUAAUCUUAUUGCCCCUCUGCUUUAUCUUGGUUGGCAAUAGGGUGAAAUGCUGUUAUAGUUGUCAGUAAUUGGGUGCGGGCUGAGAUGAAGAAACGAUCCUUUUUGCAAAGAAUAGCACUAUCCUCGUACACCAGGCUCUGUUAUUUAACAGCAUUGCUUAAUUGCAUGUUUCAUAAAAUGUUUCAAAUCUGUGGAUUCUUCAGGAUUUGAAAUGCCAGCUUGCAUUUCCCCAGAGGGAGGGAGGGAGGGAAGCCCUGCGCUGGGCACAGUGUGCCGGGGGGCUCCCAGAACAGCCUGAGGGCUGCUCCAGCAUCCCCUCUGUGGGGCUGCUGUGGGGGUUUGAUGUUCAGUGGGGUGGAAACUCCAUCCCAGAGGCAGAGGAGAAAGCAGACAGCCCAGCAAUUGUCACAAACCUUAACCACUACCGUUUGAUGUUUUCGUCUUCUUUCAUAGUUACAAACAAAUAGUGCAAACGGUUUUGAGAAUUGAAAAUUUCCAUCGGGCUCCAAGGUUUUUUUUCUCUCUCUGGGGGAACAGCAUUAAGAAUCUACAAUGCAUUAAUUCUUCCGUUUGUUUCUUGCUGCUUUUUGCCUGCUCCGUGUGCUCGCGAGGUACGUGGAGCCUUCUGAGGAGGCAGCUCUCCCCAAGUACUGCUUGGCUGGGCUCCUGGGAACACUUUGGAAACAUAAUGGGUAUUUUUGAAGUCUAAUGGGUACGAGCUGCAACAUUUCAGCCUUAAUCGCUGUUGAAUCAUUGACCCUUACUUCAUAUUUACAUGCUUGAAAAUUGCUAAAGCUGUGAAAACAACAACAACAGUAAAAUCCCAAAGUGCACCGCUGUGUUGUUCUGCAGUUGUCUUUGCUGGCUGCAGGGUGUGGAGGUGCACGGACCCACCAGGCUGGGCUCUGUGGACUUGGGGCUGGGAAUCCCUGACCUCAGUUCCUCCCCAUCCAGCUGCUGAUUGCUCAGUGGGUCCCUAGGAUGGGGGCUGCCCUGGAGGUGCAGCAGGCGUUGAUGUGGCUCCAAAUGAGGGUUGAUGGGAGUUGAUGGGGGGCUCCUCCUGCUUGCGUGAAGUGGGACGUGAGUACCUGCAUGUCGAUGUAAAAUGGAGUAUAGGCAGAUCUGUGUGAAUUGCAGAGAAAUAUGUGUCUGGACUUAGUGUUUGGUGAAUGAGAUAAUCUCUGGGCUUCAGUUACUACAAAUCCAGCCUUGUCUUUGCUUUCUCAGGGUGGGAAGUGGUGGUAAGCUGUUUCCCUCCCUCCCUGGGAUCAGGUUGCGAUAAAAACGAGGAGUUUUUUUUUUUUUGGCUUUGCUUUGCACAAACAAAGCCCUUCAGAGUGCUGCCCCCACCCCACGGUUACCCCAGCUCCCUGGGUCCUCGUGCUUCCAAAGCACAGGAAUACUUCCAGCAGGUCACUGUGGGCUGUGCUUCCUUCUGCGGGUUGGGAAGUCCGGGUUUGACCCCUUCCAUCACAGUGACGUGCGUGGUGUUCUUGGGCAGUUCUCAGAAAGGAUUUACAUAGGGCAUGGCAUCCUGCAACCCGAGCUGUGAUUCACACUCCUGCAAGCUGUGGCUAUGGAGCAGCAAGGCGUGCUGAUCCUUCCCCAUGUCCUGGUGCAGAACCAUUCGUCUGAUGGCGGGUGGUGAUGUUCACAAGCAGCCUCCUUCAUUCCCUCUCUGAUGUUCCUGUUGCUGUAUCAUAGUGAAGGUUCUGUGUCCGAAGAAAUGCUCGGAUGUCGCCAAUGUGUGCAUCCAACAGUGUGCUGCCAACGUGGAGUCAUUCCUAUGAAGGGGCACCAGGCUUUGUGGUAGUGGCUCUGCUGGCUUUCAGAAGGGGUAAUGACAGGACAAGGAGGAAUGGUGUUAAACUGAGACAGGGGACGUUUAGGUCAGAUAUGAGGAGGAAAUUUUCCUCUCAGAGGUGGUGAGGCACUGAAACAGGUUGCCCAAGGCGGUUGUGGAUGCCCCAUCCCUGGAGGCAUUCAGAGCCAGGCUGGAUGUGGCUCUGGGCAGCCUGGUCUGGUGGUUGGUGACCCUGCACACAGCAGGGGAUUGAAACCAGAUGAUUAUUGUGGUCCUUUUCGACCCAGGCCAUUCUAUGAAAUGGCACCGUGGCAUUCUUGCACAGUUCAGUGAGUGAAUCCACAGGGGAAGAGCAGUUGGGGAAAAGUACUGGUGUGUGAAAUAGCGUGCUUACGAAAUGAAAUUUCAUUAAAUGUGUUACUUAUAUGAGCCACGGGACUUGGGGACAUUGUAGACAAAUCUUGUUAGAUGAAAAUUUGGUUGUUUUUUUUUUUUUCUCUCUUAAAUUUGAGCUGCUACAACAAACCAGCUGCGCUGCCAGCGCCAGCCCCGGAGCUGCCCGAGACUCAUCAGAACCUCUCUAAUUCUCUGCUUCUUUUCUGAGGGUCAUUCUGUCCCUUUCUGCUUCAUUUUUUUUCCCUUCAAAAGCAAUUAUUGUGUAUCAGAGUUGCUGCUGCGGACUGUGCAGGGAGGAAGCAGACCUCGUUCACGCAGCGCAGCUUUCAUCAGCGCGCGGGCAGUUAAAAUCCUGUAAUGAUGUAAUAAACCUCUGAUGAAAGGAAGGAAAGGAGCUGCGGAGAUGAAAGAAGGCCCCACAAACCCCUUAGAGAGUGAUUAAAAAGAGAGGGCAGAGGGUGGAGCGUGGGUUUUGUACACCAGGCACAAUGUACGUAUUGCUCUGUCACCCGGCUGUGUCCCUGCAGCUGGAAAAUCCCCUCCUGGCUCCAUUUCUCAUGGGUUUGGGGCUGGUGUGUGCUGUGCUCACUGGGAUGACUGGAGCUAAUGGGGUUCUUCCUGUCUUGGUGUUCCCUAAGACAGGGAAGGAGCUGGCCCUGUUUAAUAUCUUAAUAUCUUCAUUGAUGAUCUGGGUGAGGGGAUUGAGUGCACCCUCAGUAUAUUUGGCACCAAGCUGGGAGGAAAUGUUGGUCUGCCUGAGGGUAGAAAAGCUCUAUGGAAGGAUUGGGAUCGGCUGGAUCAAUGGUCUGA
rnacentral:lncRNA from 1 species